AAUAUUAUACAUAGAAAGAAAAAGAAAGAGCGAAAACUCUUGUCCUACACACACACACACAUACGCAUACAUACAUACAUACAUACAUAUAUAUAAACGUGCAUAUACACACAUACUUAUAUACACACAGAGUAAGCUAAUAAUCUAUGAUAUAAAGGAAGGGGUAGAUUUUUGUACAGUUUUAUGGUGACAUCACUUUGAUAUCAAUUAGCUAGCGCCAUGUCGGGGAAAAAAUUUUAGCGUUUUAUCACUUUCUUACAGCAAUAUAUUCUUGUCUCGCACUAACGAGGAUCCACCGGAGAUAUACGAAGAUCUGAAUUGUUUCUCGAUGGUUCAGCGAAUCAUUCCCUUGUCCUCUCGGAUCGGAGCAGACCACGUUCUUGGGCACCGCUCGAAAAUGCAGGUUUUUUCGUUCCACAAACGCGAAAUUGUAUCCUUUUCGCUCGGUGUUCGAAUGAAUGAGAAGCAGCAUAGAAAACGAUAAACCGUGAAAGAGAAUGAUAUCAUCAAUUCAUCAACCGCUCAAACACGAUCACACGGGAUAGAUAAUGUGAAUGAGAAAAAUCUAAUGAGAGUGUCAAUGGAUAAUGAAGAAACGGGGUACGUCAAGCAUGUUACAUCAUUUUUUAAUGUGUGAUCUGCUUUAAUAAACGGACGUUUCUGUACGUAUGUAGUAGCAGUCGACAACAACAACAACCAUAAUAAUAAUAAUAAUAACAACAACAACAAUAACAAAAAUAACAACAAAUAAAUAAAGAAUAAUACAGUCACAUAGUUAACCUCGCACGAUUACGACGAUGGAUGUAGAAAGAAUGAAAAAGAUUAAAUUAAAUAAUGAAAGGGUAGUUUCGAGAAGAGAAACUGGAGAAACGCCUGUUCACACAGUACAUACAUAUACAUAUAUCUAUACAUAUACACAUACAUAAACACACCCACAUAUACAUAUAUACCAGGUUCAGAAUUCAUAUGUAUAUAUGUAUAUAUAUAUAUAUAUAUGUAUGUAUGUAUGUAUGUGUAUGUGCGUGUGUGCGUACACACAAAGACACAAUGCAAAAGGACGCAACCGCGCACAUUCAAAAGAAAUUAAAUCAUACACAGAUAAGAAGUAUAUAUUAAUACAUUAUGUAUUACAUAUACUGAAGGACUGAUAAUACGUUGCGUACGAAUCGUAAAAAGACACGGAUAGAGAGAAAGAAUGAGAGAGAGGGAGAGAAGGCGAGAGAGAGAGAGAGAGAGAGAGAGAGAGAGAGAGAGAAAGAGAUCAACAAGCGUUAGUUAGUGCAAUUUUAACUCGUUGCCAGAGCGUUCUAAGCAAAUGAAUGAGAAGAAGAGAGAGAGAGGUAGAGAUAGAUAGACAAAGAGAGAGAGAGAGAGAGAGAGAGAGACAAGAAGAGAGAGAGAGGGAGAAAGAAAGAAAGAAAGAUAGAGAUAGAUAAACAGGGAGAGAGAGAGAGAGAGAGAGAAAAAAGGAAAAAAGAAUUAAUCUGAGCGGCUAAGAGUACCGUAGGAAGAUUAAAUUAAAUUAAAUGCCGCCACCGCCGUGUGUAUCUCGAGAGAUGGACAACAAGGAGAGAGAUAGAGAAAGAGAAAGGAAACUUCGUAGAAAAGUAUAGAGAAAAGGUAAUAAGAGAAAGAAAGAAAAAGAAAGAGAGAGAGAGAGAGAGAGAAAAGGACUUUUUUUCGAGUGCACCCAAGGAGCGCGGAUAAGUUUAUAAAAAAAAUACAUGCUGUAUGACGCGUCAACUGCGUAUCCGUACGUGCGUGUUCGUAGUCCACGAUAUAUACGUUCGAUAUAGGAUCGCGACGUGAUUCGUACGCGUGUUAGGCGAAAAUUUUUCAUCCCACAUACGAGCACGGAGUACGCGUCGAAGGCGCUUGUGCGCGGCCAUAUGCUCGUACAUGUACACAUUAAACAAAUACACGUAUACACAUACAUAGAAUUAAACAUAUUACAUACGCAUAUACACAUAUACGUACAUGCACACAUAUUACACAGAAAUAUACAAACAAACACAUUAACACGACUCUAAUCGAUCGAUAUAAUUGUAGCGAAACUUAUCUAGGUACCAAUUUACCUAAAUCAAUUGAUAAUUAAAAAUAUAUAUUGAUAUACAUAUUAUAUAUAUAUAAAUAUAUAUUAUAUAGAGAGUAGUAUUGUUCCAAAUACUUGAGAAGCGAGUACUUGGACCGAGGACCGAGGCCGAUUUUUCUAGAUAAAUUUUUCUAAUGUUUAAACGAACGAGAGAGCUGCUCGGAUCGCGGAGAGUAACCCUUCUGAUCCCGCCGACGCGGCCCCACGUAAAUAACACUAUACAUAUACAAACACACACACACAUACGCGCGAUAAACACACGGUCACGUUUAAGUAAAAUACACAUAUAUACACACACGCACGCACGCAAAUUAGGUGAAUAAAGUAAAAGAGAAUGAGAGAGAUAGGAGAGUAAUAGAGUCGAUGUUGCUCGCGUCAUUUUCACAUAAUCGACGUAAUUAAAACGGUCGUGUCCUUUGAAUAUGAAUGUUCUUAAGAUGAAAAAAGAAAAAGAAAAAAAAAAUAAACUAAGUGUUCGAUUUAUGCGUCUCUCUAUUGUACGUAAAAUGCGAAAAGAAGAAAAAAAUGAAUAUAUAAUUAUUAUUGUGUGGCAUAUCGCGACGCGAAGUUCUAAUCGACUUCGACUACUUUCGCGCCGCUAACUUGAUACUUUCUAUUACCUUUUCUUCUUUUCUAUUUUUCUCCUAUCUUUUCUUCUUUUUUCGUGUUCGCUUUCGUUUCUCACUCCUUUUCGGACGAGAAGCAUACAGCGUUGUGAGAGAUAGGAAAAGAAAAUGCGCGUUAUUUUAUGCAUAAACACUUAUAGACACACACAUCUAUACACAUCCGCGUGCGCAGAAGAUACUCGAGUAACUUACAUAAAUACAUAUACACACACACACACACACACACACAUAUAUAUAUAUUAAACACACACACGCACACACAUUCACAGCAGCAGACACACAGAGGCUCAGUCACACGUCUUCAUAAAAGCGUGGCGCGAGAAAGACCCACAUUUUCAAUGAAGUUAUCGUUUUGAAGUCGACAGUAACAAAAAAAAAAUUGACAACAAAAUAAUAAUAAUAAAUAAUAUGUUAGGUGUGAUUCUUCACCUCCUUUGUAAUAUGUGUGAUAAAGCAUAAUAUAUAUAUAUAAUAUAAUGACAAUUAUAUAUAGAUAUAUAUAUAUAUUAUAUAUAUAUAUAUAUAAAGUACUAAUAUAUAAUUGAUAAUAACAAUUAAAAUAUCUAAUAUAUUGUGACAGACUUGAAAGAAAGGGGGAAAUGUAAUUGGGGAUUUAGAUAGAGUGAGAACGAGAGAGAGAGAGAAAGAGAGAGAGAGAGAGAGAGAGAGGACAUGCGCGAAGCGACAGUGUGUGAGAAAGAGUGUGAACGAGUGUAUGUGUGUAUGUGUGUGUGUAUGAGAGAGAAAAAGAAAGAAAGAAAGGAGCAUAAACGAAUGUGAAAAACAAUAGUGUGGCGUGAUGAUUAUUAAAGAAAAAACAACGGAGCUACGACUCUUUUUUUUUCAAAUGCGAAUGUAAAAGAUAUGCGUAAAAACAAAGAGAACAUCGUCUACGAUCGACGCGAUUGAUUAAUGAUUAUUGUUGUAUUAUUAUCAAAAUAGCGACGGUCGCGGUCGAACUACGAAAUCGAAACGUACUCUUACGAAAUUUGUAUAUAUACAUAUAUAUAUAUAUAUAUAUAUAUAUAUAUAUGUAUAUAUAUAUAUGUAUAUAUAUAUACAUGUAUAUA